ACAGGGAGACAACAAAAUGUUUAAUAUUAUUAUUUUGUCACCUUAGGUCGAUCGGUAUCUCACGUUUUUAAUUUAUUAAGAAUUUCAUUUCCUAAGUUUUUCUAGGUCACACCCAUUAUUUUUCCUGGGCCAUUAGCUCAGGUGGUUAGAGCGCACCCCUGAUAAGGGUGAGGUCCCUGGUUCAAGUCCAGGAUGGCCCAUAUCUCUAUGUUGGGGGUAUAGCUCAGUUGGUAGAGCGCCUGCUUUGCAAGCAGGAUGUCAGCGGUUCGAGUCCGCUUACCUCCACUGAUUACCACCUCUUCCAUAAUUUGAAGAAAGGAAAUUUUUUGAGCUGUGAUCAAAUUCUGAACGAAUCUAGCUUCCUAAUGAAUCCAUUAAGAUGCUGGACUCAUUGAAUUAAUUUUCAUUGUUUUCAGAGAACCUUGACAACUGCAUAGAUUAUUUUUAAAGACAAUAAGCAUCUUUAAUGAUGCAGAUUUAUUAUUUGUGCGAAUGCAUUAAUAACAAUUCUAUUAAGCUGAUGCUUCAAUUUAAUGAAGUUAUU
rnacentral:tRNA from 1 species